rnacentral:lncRNA from 1 species
GUUGGAUUCAACCGGUUAAACUAUUGAGUGUCAGUGACCCCCGUGAUCGGACAGAACAGAUUUAUACCCUCUUUAAGUUGGGAAAUUACCAAUCUAAUAUAGUGCAAUCGAACGUGCAUGAUCAUGAUGUCCAGUUCGAAUUGUAAUUUAGCCGAUUUGGUUCUAUUCUCAAUCUUAAUUUGUAUAAUUAAUUCAAAUUUACGAAGGACGGACAAAUAGAUUAAUAUUGUUAUAAAGCACUUAGUCGUUGUUGUACUAUAAGAUUGUCGGAUCUAAUGGAUUAAAUGAACUAUCAUAGCCCUAUUCACAAAAAGAAAAGUGGUUUAUCAUAUUAGUUAUUGACCCAGCAAAUGUCUUUUCGGUAAAAUUUCCCUCAAGAUCAUAUUACGUUUCAUGAUACCUGACCACCGUUAGUAUGUAUAAAAAAGAAGAUGUGCUAAGACUGUCAAUGAGACAACUCUCCACAAGAGACCAAAUGACACAGAAAUUUACAACUAUAGGUCACAGUACUACCUUCAACGAUGAGCAAAGUCCACACAUCAUAGUCAACUAUAAAAGGUCCCAAAAUGAAAAAUGUAAAAAAAACUCAAACGAGAAAACUUACGGCCUAAUUUAUGUAUACUAAAAAUGAACGAAAAAAAUGGUAAUAAAUCAACAAACGACAACCACUGAAUUACAGACCCGGCGCUGACUUGGGACAGACACAUACAUACAGCAUGUGGCGGGGUUAAACAUUUAAGCGGGACCCCAACCAUCACCCUAAUCUGGAACAUUUGUAAAAGUUGAAAAUCGAAUGUUGAACACGAAUAUUUAAU